GUUAAUGCUAAUAACAGAGGUCUUGCAGUUGUUUGGUUUUACUUGAUCUGGAACGCCUUGGGUUAGAAUAGCAGAGUUCACACGCAUGCCUCCGCUGGUGUACCUGGCUUCCUCUUGCAAAAUCCUGACUGGGAAUAAAUGAGCCUUGCUCGAGCCUCUGAAUCAAAAGCAAUGCCGAAGUCUGUUUGUUUUUGGUUUUUUUUAAAAGCUUCCUGUAAGAUACUUGGUGGGAUGUACUGGUUUUGCUUUUACCUUCUCUUUGGAAAGCAGUGGGGUUUUUGUUGACUCUAGAUGUUGGGGUUUGUCAGGUGUGCUGAUUCAGUGUUUUGAUUACAGUUUGUAAAAGUCACUUGAAGCAGAGGGAUCUUGUUUAUGAGUAUUUAUAACGCUAAUAAAUCUCGCUAAGUUGUUGUGCCUGCACCAUGAAAGGUGCCUAAAUAUACACAGGAGUCUGAAAAAUUGUUUUCAUUCCUUAUCCUUUAGGAAUGAAAGAAUAUCAGCUUUAAUUUUACUCUGAAGAGUGAAAAGAAAUAGUAGCCCACAGGCUACUGACCUGAGGUGAUCAGUGGGCACCCUCAUUGACUGGGAGAAAUCUGUAACUGUAUCUAGUAGAAUUGCUGCAGUUUCACCUUCUGUGCCAUAUGUAGACACAUUUUCCUUGUUUUGUUAAGAAAUAUCUUGGAUAGGAAAAGUCAAAUUUGCAUAGCUCCACGAACUCAUUUUUUUUUCAUAACGUACAUGGCAUACUGUAUGUUCAAUUUAAAUAAUUUACUUAACAGUGCUUAAAAAAUUCUAAACAUUUAUUCAUUUAUUUCUCAAACAUUUCAGGGGAAGACAAAUCCCAAGCCACUAGCUAAGCAGAAUUCAGAAGUAGAUAUUUACAGAGGACAGGUAUCAUGCUUUAGUUCUUUCUGCCCCCUCCCCCCCCCUUUUUUUUUUCCCAGAAAGUUAGUCUGUCUUAAAAAGCACAGCAAACCCACACCCCAUCUUUAACUUGCAGUGGACUUGCACCAGACCCGUGCUCUUGGUGAGGGAAUGUUCCCAGGAGAACAGAAAUUUUGGAUUUCUGUCAGAUGAUCUGUUGUGGACCUUCUUGUGUAAGCUUUUUGGUGCUGGCCUCAGAGGGUCUGAUCAGCAGUGGAGUCCCUGGUGGGACUCUCCUGGUGGGAUUGUAAUAAUGUGGGAUAUCACACUGGAGUUCAGUACAUGCACGGUGCAUGUGGCUGAGGUUUGCUUACCUGUCCUUUCUCAGGAGUUCUGUGUAGCCUCCCUUUGCUCAUCUGUCUUUUUGUCCCCGAAGUUUGAAUGGUGGGUAGGAAUUUUUUUAGUCCUUUAGGUUCCUGCUGUAGUUUGGGAUGGCUCUUGAAUCCUGUAGUGACCACAAGGAGCUUAGUCACAGUCUGUGUCCUCUGUAUCUGUCUAGGCAGUGGGUUUGUCUUGCUUUCGAAGCUUGUCUUCCCCCUAUAGAUUCAGUUUUUGCUCAGUCCAUGUUUAUUCCAAUAAAAAUGUUGUUCUUCUACCAAGUUUAAGCUGAGCAUUAGUUAAAAUGUGAAGGCAGUUGAUAAACUUUGAUAUUUGUAUUCCAGGAGAUGCAGGGUAGACAUGGAAAUUGCAGUUAAAAAAAUUGCUUCUCUGAAUGCAGUAUUCAUCAGCACAAAGCCUGCUAAGCUGAUAUUAUAUGAGUUUGAGCCUAUGAUCACUGACAUGCUGUAGAGGAGCUCCAGUUGUAGCAAAGACCUUUGCUUAUUGGAGUGUGUUAAAUUUCCUUCCACAGAAGGGAAAACAAAAAAACUUUUUUCUUUUCUUUGACCAGAUGAAAGGUUGUGAAACCUUUUUCUGCUACGUGUAAUAAAGAGAGCUGUUUACAA